rnacentral:rRNA from 1 species
CCUCAGUAACGGCGAGUGAAGCGGCAACAGCUCAAAUUUGAAAUCUGGCCCUAGGCCCGAGUUGUAAUUUGCAGAGGAUGCUUUUGGCAAGGUGCCUUCCGAGUUCCCUGGAACGGGACGCCAUAGAGGGUGAGAGCCCCGUCUGGUCGGACACCGAGCCUCUGUAAAGCUCCUUCGACGAGUCGAGUAGUUUGGGAAUGCUGCUCAAAAUGGGAGGUAUAUGUCUUCUAAAGCUAAAUACCGGCCAGAGACCGAUAGCGCACAAGUAGAGUGAUCGAAAGAUGAAAAGCACUUUGAAAAGAGAGUUAAAUAGCACGUGAAAUUGUUGAAAGGGAAGCGUUUAUGACCAGACUUGGCCCGGUUGAUCAUCCAGCCUUCUGGCUGGUGCACUCUGCCGGUCCAGGCCAGCAUCAGUUCGCCGCGGGGGAUAAAGGUUUCGGGAAUGUAGCUCCUCCGGGAGUGUUAUAGCCCGUUGCGUAAUACCCUGCGGUGGACUGAGGUCCGCGCUCUGCAAGGAUGCUGGCGUAAUGGUCAUCAACGACCCGUCUUGAAACACGGACCAAGGAGUCGUCUUCGUAUGCGAGUGUUCGGGUGUAAAACCCCUACGCGUAAUGAAAGUGAACGCAGGUGAGAGCUUCGGCGCAUCAUCGACCGAUCCUGAUGUUCUCGGAUGGAUUUGAGUAAGAGCAUACGGGGCCGGACCCGAAAGAAGGUGAACUAUGCCUGUAUAGGGUGAAGCCAGAGGAAACUCUGGUGGAGGCUCGCAGCGGUUCUGACGUGCAAAUCGAUCGU